rnacentral:rRNA from 1 species
UACGUAGGGUGCAAGCGUUGUCCGGAAUUAUUGGGCGUAAAGAGCUCGUAGGCGGUUUGUCGCGUCGAAUGUGAAAACCCAGGGCUCAACCCUGGGCCUGCAUUCGAUACGGGCAGACUAGAGUUCGGUAGGGGAGACUGGAAUUCCUGGUGUAGCGGUGAAAUGCGCAGAUAUCAGGAGGAACACCGGUGGCGAAGGCGGGGUCUCUGGGCCGUAAGCUGACGCUGAGACGCGAAAGCGUGGGGAGCAAACAGG